rnacentral:rRNA from 1 species
GACGAACGCUGGCGGCGUGCUUAACACAUGCAAGUCGAACGGUAGGGCCCUUCGGGGUACACGAGUGGCGAACGGGUGAGUAACGCGUGAGUAACCUGCCCUUCACUCUGGGAUAACAGUUGGAAACGGCUGCUAAUACCGGAUAUUCAGCUCCUGUCGCAUGGUGGGGGUUGGAAAGUUUUGGUGGUGGAGGAUGGGCUCGCGUCCUAUCAGCUUGUUGGUGGGGUGAUGGCCUACCAAGGCGUCGACGGGUAGCCGGCCUGAGAGGGCGACCGGCCACAUUGGGACUGAGAUACGGCCCAAACUCCUACGGGAGGCAGCAGUGGGGAAUAUUGCACAAUGGGCGGAAGCCUGAUGCAGCAACGCCGCGUGCGGGAUGACGGCCUUCGGGUUGUAAACCGCUUUCAGCAGGGACGAAGCGCAAGUGACGGUACCUGCAGAAGAAGCACCGGCUAACUACGUG